GAUGAACGCUGGCGGCGCGCCUAACACAUGCAAGUCGAACGGCACCUGCCUUCGGGCAGAAGCGAGUGGCGAACGGCUGAGUAACACGUGGAGAACCUGCCCCCUCCCCCGGGAUAGCCGCCCGAAAGGACGGGUAAUACCGGAUACCCCGGGGUGCCGCAUGGCACCCCGGCUAAAGCCCCGACGGGAGGGGAUGGCUCCGCGGCCCAUCAGGUAGACGGCGGGGUGACGGCCCACCGUGCCGACAACGGGUAGCCGGGUUGAGAGACCGACCGGCCAGAUUGGGACUGAGACACGGCCCAGACUCCUACGGGAGGCAGCAGUGGGGAAUCUUGCGCAAUGGGGGGAACCCUGACGCAGCGACGCCGCGUGCGGGACGGAGGCCUUCGGGUCGUAAACCGCUUUCAGCAGGGAAGAGUCAAGACUGUACCUGCAGAAGAAGCC
rnacentral:rRNA from 1 species